UUGGUUUGUCCUAAGUUAAACUUGUUCAACUUUGACCAAAUUUAUAAGAAAAUAUAACAACAACUAUAUCAUCAAAACAUAUUCCAUGAUGAUGGAUUCUACCAAACAAAUUUGGUAUUGUAAAUGUUGUUAUAUUUUUCUAUAAACUUGGUCAAAGUCGAACAAGUUUGACUUAGGAUAAACCAAA
rnacentral:pre_miRNA from 1 species